GUCAGGAUGAACGCUAGCUACAGGCUUAACACAUGCAAGUCAGGGGCAGCAUUGAGAUAGCUUGCUAUUCAGAUGGCGACCGGCGCACGGGUGAGUAACGCGUAUCCAACCUUCCCUAUAGUAGAGAAUAGCCCGGCGAAAGUCGGAUUAAUGCUCUAUGUUGUUCAAUGCGGACAUCUAAGUUGAACCAAAGGUUUACCGCUAUAGGAUGGGGAUGCGUCUGAUUAGGUUGUUGGCGGGGUAACGGCCCACCAAGCCAUCGAUCAGUAGGGGUUCUGAGAGGAAGGUCCCCCACAUUGGAACUGAGACACGGUCCAAACUCCUACGGGAGGCAGCAGUGAGGAAUAUUGGUCAAUGGGCGAGAGCCUGAACCAGCCAAGUAAGCGUGCAGGAUGACGGCCCUAUGGGUUGUAAACUGCUUUUAUACGGGGAUAAAGUGAGGGACGUGUCCCUUUUUGUAGGUACCGUAUGAAUAAGGACUGGCUAAUUCCGUGCCAGCCGCAGC
rnacentral:rRNA from 1 species